CUACUGUACUCUGGUCAGGAAAAUGAAAAUGCUGCAUACGCUCAGGGAGUUGCUCUCAUGCUGUUCAAAGAAGUACGUAACGCAUUUAUAGGAUGGGAAUCACAUGGAUCCAGGAUUCUCAAACCAUCCUUCAAAACAAAAAGGAUUGAAUCACCAUUUGAAUGUGGUCAAGAUGAAUGUGAAGUUAAAGAAUCACUGGACAACGGGAGUACAAAGGUUCCCUCAACAUACUGGCAAACUCAACCAAUUUAAAAUAACUCUCAAGGAAAUGUUCCAAGAUCUACUGAGAAAAGAACCUACCAUGGAAGAAAUUUGUAUGGCGUUGUUAGAAGUGAAAUACUGGGAUCGUCAUCAGACAAGCUACAGCGGAAGCAUUUGUCAAGAAUAUUUUCAUGGAUAAGAAUUGAAAGUCAGAGUUUCGAAAACGAUCAGAUACCGUCGAAGUUUUCACAAUAAAGUAUGCCAUAGAAAGUCCGAGAGAAUUUAAGUUUUUGGC
rfam:Schistosoma mattheei strain Denwood, Zambia genome assembly, scaffold: SMTD_scaffold0000568